UAAUACGUAGGUGGCAAGCGUUGUCCGGAUUUAUUGGGUUUAAAGGGUGCGUAGGCGGUCUUUUAAGUCAGUGCUGAAAUAUCCCGGCUUAACCGGGAGGGUGGCAUUGAUACUGAAGGACUUGAGUAAAGUUGAGGUUGGCGGAAUUGACGGUGUAGCGGUGAAAUGCUUAGAUAUCGUCAAGAACACCGAUAGUGCAGACAGCUAACUAAGCUUUAACUGACGCUGAGGCACGAAAGUGUGGGGAUCAAACAGG
rnacentral:rRNA from 1 species